AAAGUGUUUUCAGUACCAUUUUCUAUACAAAUUUGUUCUGGGUGACUUGACUUUUCUCCUUGAGUAUGAAAUUAGGAAAACAUUAAACUAGCCUGGCAAAAUUAUUAUAAUGUAAUGAUUUUAAUAAUCUUUGGAAAACCUUACUCUGACUAUAUCUAACUGGUGCUGUCUGUCAUAUUAGUGAGAAAGCUAUUCUUUGCUAAUGAGAGUCUUAAAUUAUGCUGUUUCUGAGUUUGUUUAAAACUCCUGACCACUGAUACAGAAGUGUAAGUGAAAAUAUGUAAAAACAUGAAAGGCCGCAUUCUGGACCAUUUAAAGCAGACAACUCUGCUUUAUAAACAAACAUAAAAAGGUAGAGUUUAUUUCAUCUUGCAUUUUUUCUGUGUGGGAAACCCUGGUAAUUUAAUUUUUAAGUUGAGGAAAGUACAUCCAAUGAUGUUAUUGUUUCAGAAGUCACCCAGACACUUCAUAAAUACAUUUGGUGUUCUGAGAAAUGGAAGUGUUGGGAUGCUUUGUAAGAUUCUGUGGAAAAAAAGCACUUUGAAAAUAGUCCCUCUAUAAAUUAACAAUUAAAAGUUGGCCAUAUUUAAAACAAGUUUAAGCAUUCAAAAUGGGGUUCAUAAAUAAUACAGAAGUAUGCAUAAAGCCUUAAAAUCAAACAAAACUCAAACCCAUAUGCUAAAAUUAAAGAGGAUUUGUUGUCUCAAAAUAAGGAUGUGAAAAUAUAGCUAAGAUGCGUACUUGAAUGCAGUUUCUGUAGUAUCUUUGUUCUUCGAGUUUUAAAAGAUUGUGUGAGCUUCUUAGAAAAAACCCAACCAAAACCCAAAACCCCAGCAAUCCACAUUCCAAGACUAAUUAGGUCUCUAAAAAAUGUUAUCAGAUUUUAAAUGUUACGUUUUCCAACGUACCUUUGUCUGGGACCUUUUCUAUGAACAGCCACGUAUUGUUGGAGAUGGGAACACAGUAAAUAAUAAACCUGGUCACCAGCGUAAACCCCUGUAGUUUUAGACAGUUGAUUAGCAGUUUAAAGUAUGAGAUUCAGGAAUGAUUUUUAGUGUAAGAAUUUUGGCUUUUCAGCAAGAGCCUCUGCUGUCAAGCAUUUACUGUACUUGAGCUCUGAAGGGGCAAGUACAGAGCCCAGCCACUGUAGUCACUUUAUUUUGCACCAUCUUUGUACAUUCCUGUUGUAUAGCUGGAGUUGUAGUUUUAGAGGGCCUUUGUUCUGUUUUAAUGUCUGAAUAGUAUUUAAUACUAAAUUUUAUUAUAAUUUGCUGGAACUGCUGCUUAUUUGUGCAGUGUUGCAGUAAUUCACAGCCCAGUUAGUGAUGCAAUUGUAUACCAAAAGCAGUUUGAGUAACUGUAAAUGUUUAUGUAACUGUACUCAAUGAAUAUGAAGGUCUUGUACUGUAUAAUGCUGACAAGUUUUGCCAUUUUAGUAAUUUAACUAUAUUCAGUUUUCAGAUUAUGAACUCCAGGUUGCACUAAACUUGUCCUUGUUUUAGCAGUGGCUUAAAAUAAAACACAUUUCACUGGCUU